rnacentral:lncRNA from 1 species
CAACAUUCAUAGAAUUUGAUAUCAACGUGGAGUCUGAAAUACACAUCACCUUCAAAUGCAUCAGUGCCUAUAGUUGCAAUUCCCCUGUGCAUAAAAAAAUCCCCAGUGCCUCCAACUACAGAUAUAUCUCUACUCUUCACCAAAAUUGGGUCGGCUCCAAUGAAACUUAUGGUCCCUUGGUGUUGUGUGCUAUUAAGAGCAAAUGUAAAGCCGAGCCAAGAAGUGAAGGUGUUCUUGGUAUCAUAGAUAUACAUGCCUUGCGCCCUACCAACUGGUGGUGAAUGAAGAUUGUUGUCAAGGGUAAUGGGAUCAUCGAAAACUAUAAUGUUGCCAAAAUGGUUCUGCCCUGCUAAGAUGGUUAAGUUAGCCCCUUCCGGU